rnacentral:rRNA from 1 species
AGCAGCCGCGGUAAUUCCAGCUCCAAUAGCGUAUAUUAAAGUUGUUGCAGUUAAAAAGCUCGUAGUUGAAUUUUAGGCCUGACCAGGCGGUCCGUCUCGGGCGAGUACUGUCCUGUUGUCGGAUCUAUCCUUCUGGUGAGCCGGUAUGUCCUUCACUGGGCGUGUCGGGGAACCAGGACCAUUACCUUGAAAAAAUUAGAGUGUUUAAAGCGAGCUUUUGCUUGAAUAGAUUAGCAUGGAAUAAUAGAAUAGGACGUUGGUUCUAUUUUGUUGGUCUAGGACCACCGUAAUGAUUAAUAGGGAUAGUUGGGGGCAUUAGUAUUCAAUUGUCAGAGGUGAAAUUCUUGGAUUUAUUGGAGACUAACUACUGCGAAAGCAUUUGCCAAGGAUGUUUUCAUUAAUCAAGAACNAAAGUUAGGGGAUCGAAGACAAUCAGAUACCGUCGUAGUCUUAACCAUAAACUAUGCCGACUAGGAAUCGAGCGACGUUCUCUUCAUGACUCG